AACCCUAGGGCUCUUGGGGAGCCUCUCGUCUUCCUUUAAAAGCUUGUUUUAAGUUCGGAGUCUCCCCUUCACCCAUAAAUUAGAGUUGAGUGUAUUUUCCUAGGUUACGUGUCACCCUGUCACAUGUGAAUGACAAGUUCUCCUCAGAACCAGACAAGCGUGUUGAGCAAGUGUGAGAAAGAAACGUUGCCCAUUGUGAACUUUGGAUGAAGAAACCCUAAUGUUUCUGUGGCUGCUGAGGGAAAGGGAACCUGGCUUUGGCCAAAGCGGGAAGCAGGAGUCCCGUUCAAGGUAGGCCGACUUCACAGAGGGCUUUCCAGACAGGGCCCAGGAACCUGAGGAGUUUUGCUAAGUGGACCUCUCAGCUGAGUACACGUUGAUGAGAUUCCAUGCUCAGAGAGUAUCCUAUGAAGCCUGAGAGAAAUAAACACCACACAGAACGUUCCCAAGGUGCAGGAAAUGAACGUUCAGAAGCGCAGACCUGACUAGAGACAGACCCCCAGAGACUACGUAAUGAGAGAGUUGGAGACAGGACGUCACGAGAGAAAUUGGGGGGCUUUAGUUGCAUCAGGGUGGAAAGUUCUGGUCACCCUGUCUGGCCUACCGUCAGCGUCUCCAAAGAGCUCCAUCGGAUCAUGGCUUCACAGAGAAAGAGGACAUGUGUACAGCUGUUUCACAUUCACGUUCUACCUCUCGCGAGUCGUUUAAAAGUUUGGAUACCUGGCUCUUUUUUUUUUUUUUCCUGUUUAUGGAGAGCAGUUAAAUCCUCAUCACCAGGCAAGUGUCUUUCAAAAGGAUUUCUCACAGCAGGUAACUGGGAGGUAGUGAGGGAAGAUGUUGCGUUUUGGAGUCAAACAGACUUGGGACCAUCAUGUGGAAGCGAGCUGUUGCCUAUUUUAAGCACUUCAUUUUCUGGAUUGGAAAAAACUUCAGGGUUUUUGCUUUAAAAACAUUCAAAGUGGGGUAGCAAAAUAUUGACCCGAAAGGCCAGAAGAAGAGACCUUAUUUAGGACUUACUCGGAAUUACAGUUUUACUCUUCUUGGAGGAAAGUGACCCAAAACAUUUUUACUGGAGGUGACAAAAUUUCCUGAGUAAGAAAUGUACUGACUUCUAGAUGAUGUUUAUUCCCGAGUAAGAAAUGCACUAACUUCUAGAUGUUUAUUCCCUACCGGGUUUGCACAUCAUAAAAUCUGACCUGGGCCACUUGGUGAAGGGUGGCUCUUGGGGAAGAGGAAUUCACUCGUUCCAUCCUCAAGAGGAUAUCUGUUAUCUAGAACGAACACUAACGGAAAGUGUGUCACCUCAGAGAUCUGAUCUAGGUUUGGCUUCUAUUUCGCUCGUUUAUAACGUAUCAGAACUAGGUGGCUCAGGACUAACUAUGAUGGGGAAGUUUGGAAACAUUUUUUUCUUUUUGGGAACUGAUGGAUUUGAAAGUCAGGACUUGGGUGUUGGUUGGAGUUAGCUCAGGGUUUCUAGAAUUCUGUUUCCUGGCUUUCAUCAACAAGUUGUGCCUUGAGUCAUCUUGUCACUGGGGGGGACUGGUUGCACCAAUGUCAAAAGAUGUUAGAAGGCGUGAGUGUCACAUCCUGGGAUGAAGUCAUUUAGGCUGGUGACCUUCUCAGAAGGGUCAGUAGGAAUGAAAAAGUGGGAAAGAAAGUCAUGUCAAGGAUGUCUUGAGCAAGGGAGUGGAGUCGAGUCAGUAAACACCAAUGGAAAGCAUAGGCUGUAAGGGUGCAAGCCACCUUCUCCAUUGUCCUGGGCUUGCUGCUCUUGUGGGUGAACUUUGGCAUCAAUCAAGCAACUAACUGACAUUGAACAAGUUUCUGAAGGUACCCAGCGGGCACCCUGUCAAGACCCACAUCCGGCAGUUAAUUUCCUACCAACCUUAAUUACAAGUGUUAGUUAGUAUAAAAUGUAUGGAAAAGAGACAUAAGACACCCUUUGGGGUCUACAGCUGUCUUAUUUCUAUUUUAGAGAAUAAUUACAUGAGCGCUCACCAUCUAAAAUGGACUUUGGAAGGUUCUGUACCAAAGCCCAGGAUUGAGCUUUCUGCUUUCUGUGAGGGAAAGCUUGGAGACUUGUGUUCUAAGUAGUUCUUCCUUUUAACUGAGCUCAGAGACAGUGGCUCACAGGGCAAUGGCCGAGCAUUAAAUCUAGUCUCAUCUAAAAAGCAUUUAAAGCAGUAGUAACGUGACAUACGAGGGGCCACAGUGAGGCCCGUCCUGGUUUUGGGGGGACAUAGGAACUGGUGAUCUAUGGAGGAGAAAAAUAGGGCACUGAAAGCAAACAAGACUCCAGGCUCCUUCCUCAUAUUCCUGGCUGUGUCUGUCAUAGAUCUGCUGGCACAUUUUGUUUUGGGGACAAAGGACAGCACUGUUUAAUCCUUCUGUCCAUGCCAAACUCCAAAGGGGAUAAUUACAUUCUGCCUCCUGAAAUUCCCUUUGCAAUUUCAUCUGGGUGAAGCACUCUCAAUUGCCUGGGGUGUUGCUGACCCUGGGAAACAGCCGCCAUGUUUUAUCCCCAGCUAGGUAUUUCAGUCAUGGCCAAGGUGAAUAGUGCACAGUUUGAUUUUGGCUCCAGUGUAUAAAUUAGACCGGGUUCUUUUGCAGUAAAAUGUACUGAGCAGGGUGGCAAAUGUCAGCUCACUGGAGCAUUAUGUGUCUGUCCCCUGUGCAAAACUGCUUUAAUUGUGCCUAAAGAGUACAGUCGAUUGGCUAAUCUUGUUUUUAAGAAAAGAAAUUAUUCCGGAGCAUUUUUUUUUUUUUUUUUUUUGACUGGUAAAUGCAGUGCCAGAUAAUGUUUUUGUGUUCAGGUGAAAAAUCCAGUUCGGUUAUGUUAUUUGGGCCCCACUAGAAUCAUUAAAACCAGUUGGAUUUCUAUAUGUAAGACCCAAAGUAAUUCAGUUUGGUUUUCUGACAAGUAAUUAUUUUUUCUAAAUAGCACUGAUAGUAAUGUCAUUGUAAAUGGGAUAAAAAGGUUAUUAGGGAAAGAUUAUACAUGCUUGUUUAAAUUCCUAGAUCAGAUCUUCGUAAUGUCAGGAAAAUCAUCCAAGUUUGUUAGAAUGAAAUCCAGGUGAAAUGUUCUAUUAUUUCUCUGAAGUUUUGGAGAAACAGAUACUAAGAUGAUAAUUUCAAUUCCCCGCGGGAAUGAAGAAAACCUGGACAAGAUGUUGGUUUUAAUAAUGGUAUUUCAAGCUGUUCCUAAGCUUAAUUGUGGUAUGGGGUAACACUGUAGUCAUGGAGUGGUGUAUUUAAAACCCACCAAGAGGUUUCAGCCUGAGAGCGGAACCAACGAAAGGGAAUCAUUAACCACAGAAGUGACUGAAGUGGUUUAAUAAUUAUGUUAUUUCAAGGGGGAAAAAAAAAAAGAUCUGCCUCAAGUAUAAAGGGGAAAAGAAGGCCUGAUAAAUAGAACUUAUUUCUACCCUAGGUAGUCAGCUAGUGAGACUACCAGUGGGAAAGGUCUAUUAACUAAUUGAUCUGCUAGACUCGAUAGGGAACUCCAGCUGGAGAUCAAAGAACAUUCUCUGCUACAAAGGCAAGCGGCAACCUUGGACCAGAUGUUUUCCCUCCAGCUCUGUCAUGCUUGAUAACUGUAGAGUGUGGCUGAAUCUGGCCAUAGGCCUCGUCCAUCCGACCACUGAUAUGGAAAGCAAGGGGAUGUGUGUGCACGCACAUGCGUGAAAAAGAGGCAAGAGAGCUUCGAAGUCAAAAAGGUUCCGAAUUUAAGAUUAGGUUGGGAGCUAAGCAAUUUUUUUCCAAACUUAUUUGCAAAGUGAAGCGGACCAAAGAAUGCCACUGUCAACUUUUAAAAAGACAUGGGCAAACUGUAUCACCUGGAUAGAACCAAAGAACUUUUAAAGACUGAAGAGUAAGGCAACGUGGAUCCUGAGCCUAAAGAAAAGAGGUGGAGGUAACCCCAGGCUUCCAUAGCAAAUGCUGAGAUCCAGUCUACUCUAUGGAGUCAUCAGAGGGGAUGAGCUGGACAAGAAUUUUCCUCAUCUUUUCCUCUCAAGGCAUAAAGGCUGAGACAGAUCUCGUUUGCAGCCAGAAAGAGAGCAAUGUGUGGGGAAACUUGGCUUGGAUCUUGGAUCUUGAAGAGGGCAACUAUUCAUCACUUGGGCUGUGGUUACAGAAGACUUUUCCUGAGGGUCGACAAGGGGACAGGUGAGGAGAAGGUUCUGAUGGAGCCAUUUACCUCCUUGUGCUUGGGUCAAGGGCUUAUAAUUAUCUGUGUGCAGUGAAGAAAACUGUUCUCAGUAGCUUGGCAUGGGGGAGUGACUGCCUGUCUGAAAGCUGGGUUCUGGGGUGGAGCCCAAGCUUGUUCAAGCUUAGUUCACCAAGAAAGCAGUGGGGGUUGUCAUUCUGAUGUCGUUCAAGACCGCCACACCUCAUCUCUGCCUAUAACAGAAUCGCAGGUGUUAACACUGGAGUGACUAGUGAUUGUGACCUCAUUAAAAGAGAAAGGAUAUUACCUCCUGCUGAUUAGAGGGGAUGGUAGUCCUGGCUUAGUCACAGAGCAGACAGGCAUGGUUGGGUCUGUCCCUCAUUUAUCUCCUUCUGGUUUUUAAAUUGCCAGCAGAGGAGAUUUGUGGAAAACCUCUGUGAUUUCUCCUUCUCUCGGGGAAAUCAUCUGGUCCACCCUCCUUUGAGGCACCCACUCCAGGCUAAUCGCAUUAGCAGUUAGACAGGAUUACUGGAGACCUUGUUUCUUGGAGUCGUCUUUCUUUAUAAGAGCAAAUAAUGUACAGCCUGGGUGCAUUUUGUUCUCCCUGUGUUGUCAGUUAACUUUGAUUUUAAACACUUUUGUAGAGUGGAAGCCCAGAAUGAUGUAGAAUAACAAUCACAGAAGGACUUCAGGGUCGGCUCGUCAGUUGCAUGUCUCUUUUAUGUGCAGCAACUGCUGGUGAAUCCCAGCUAGGUCUGCGAGGUCCCUGAUCUUGACUUCUCUGCCUCACAACCAAAGCUAUUGCCUGUCUUUUUCAACUUUUAGUGCUCUUAAUUAUUCUUACUGACCACUCCACCAAUCAAAUGGAUGAUGAGGGAUAUCUAGAGAUUCAUGUGUCUAUCAAAGACUGUAACCUACGUUGGGACCUCAUUUAACUUGUCUACGUCUUAAGCUUCUGAGAGACAGACCUAACAGUCCCUUAGUAAAGUUUUACCAAUGGGCAUACUAGAGGAAACCAAUCUAUAUCUUUCUCUGUAAAGCAUAUAUACAUACAUGUGUGUGUAUAUAUAUAUAUAUAUAUACACACAUAUGUAUAUUUGUUUAUAUAUUUGCACAUAAAAAAUAUAAUUUUGUACUUAUAUUUAAAUAUGUUUUAUAUAAAAUCAUGUGUAUGUUUCCAUAUAUAAAAUAUAAAUUUAUAUGUAUAUAUAAAUAAAAUUAUGUGUGUAUAUUUGCAUAUAUAUAAAAAUAUAAUUUGUCAUUAAAUAGCAUAUGCUCUUCAGGGGCGCCUGGGUGGCUCAGUCAGUUAAGCGUCUGACUUUGGCUCAGGUCAUGAUCUCAUGGUUCGUGAGUUCAAGGCCUCACGUCAGGCUCUGUGCGGAAAGCUCAGAGCCUGGAAACUGCUUCGGAUUCUGUGUCUCCCUGUCUCUCUGCCCCUCCCCCACUAAUGCUUUGUCUCUGUCUCUCAAAAAUAAAUAAACAUUAAAAUUUUUUUUUUUUUUAAAUAGUAUAUGCCCUUCAACAAGUCACUUAACCUUCCUCCUUAGCCUUAUUUUCCUGAUCAGGAAGCAGUGGUGAAUUAGCUGAGUUUUCUUUUCUUCUUAAAAAAAAUUUUUUUUAAUGUUUAUUUUUGAGAGAGAGAGAGAGUGAGUGAGCAUGAGUGGGAGGGGCAGACAGAGAGGGAGAGAGAGAAUCUCAAGCAGGCUCUGUGCUGUCAGCCCAGAGCCCUAUGCGGGGCUCGAACCCACACACUGUGAGAUCAUGGCCCGAGCCGAAGUCAGGAGCUUAACCGACUGAGCCACUCAGGUACCCCUCUCUCUCUUUUUUUUUUUUAAUUAGCUGAGUUUUCUUAGACAUAUAGGUAUCUAUAGGUAUCAUAUUUUCCUUGUAUGUUUCAGAAAUGUUUUUUUUUAAAAAAACACAGCUUCAAAUUCACAUUUAUUUUGCAGUGAACUCUAACAUCUAAGUCAGCAAGAGUCAAGAUUUGAAACACUCCGAUCCUUUUCUAUUUUGAAUUUUCAGAGAUGAUUUUCUUCCUUUGGUGAAGCCCUUUGGGAAUACUGUUCAAAGAGGCAGCUCAGUUAGGGCAGAACCCAAACUCUGGUGUGUGCUCUUUGGCAGGGGGAGUUGACUAGGGAUUGUGACUAACCCCUAGCGGCUUCAACUAGGAAACGAGAGCCCACCCCAAGAAAACAGUUCCAGGACUUUCUACGAGGACGUGAAGGCCACUGGCUACAGGCAUCACUCGGCUCACUUGUGGUUUCUGCUGCUCAAUGCUUCUCUAGUUCAAGGAAGGGGCUUCAUGCAGUGAUGGCGAUGGGCUGAAACUUUGAGGUGACUUUUUUUGAGCAUCUCACCGAUAGGUCCCAAAGAUGCUUCUUUAUGAUUGAAGUAAAAACAAGACAGAACCAAGUCUGGCCACUGUACUCUUGAGCCUUCAUGUGAAUUAGAUCAGGCGAGUCACAAAGGAAAGCCACAGAUGAUAUUAAAAUGUCAUCGAGGAGAGUGACCCCAUCGAAAAGGGGGCAGUUUUCUGCCAUACGCCACGCAGAACACUCAUUUUGACAAUUGGCACAGACGAGACCACCUUUGCGGGAAUCUGGGAGUCUAGCAGAGGCGUUCCAGCACCCCGCGAGAACAAAACACCAUCCGGGACUGGACACACCGAAGAGGGUAAGAGGAACAAUUUCAUUUUACCUCUGACCCUUCGGUCAAGUGCCAAGGGAGCCCUUCUCACCAGCGAUUUCUCCAGAAGGAAAAGAUGAGAGCACGGGAGGGAGCGCCUGCCUUCCCCACGGAGGUGGGGCAUUGGUCUUUCCUUCUCUCCCCAUCCAGAAUGUGAGGGGGGCCGUGGGCCUUGGGUGGGGGUGCAGAGAAGGGCUAGGGGCUCUCAGAGGGCAUCAGUGGGACCGGAAUUCUACGAACUGCUUUUCAGACUCAGUCAAGAAGUCCACCCACAAGCCACCAAGGACACUUUGCCCGCGGCUCUCCCCGGCUGGCCCGUGGGCACCCCAAUGCCGCAGACAUCUUAUUCUGCACACCCCCACCGUGUGACUGACGCUCCCGGAGCCCCAAAGGCGGUGAGUGGACUUCUUGACUGAGUCUGAAGUCAUGAAGCACCCAUGAUCUCAUGAGUCUGAAGCACCCAUGAG